AGAGUUUGAUCAUGGCUCAGAAUCAACGCUGGCGGCGUGCCUAACACAUGCAAGUCGAACGAGAAAGUGGAGCAAUCCAUGAGUAAAGUGGCGACCGGGUGAGUAACACGUGACUAACCUACCCUAGAGUGGGGGAUAACCUCGGGAAACCGGGGCUAAUACCGCAUAACAUCGCGAGGGGAAGAUCCAUGCGAUCAAAGGAGCAAUCCGCUGAAGGAGGGGGUCGCGGCUGAUUAGUUAGUUGGUGAGGUAACGGCUCACCAAGACGAAGAUCAGUAGCCGGCCUGAGAGGGCGCACGGCCACACUGGAACUGAAACACGGUCCAGACUCCUACGGGAGGCAGCAGUGGGGAAUUUUGCGCAAUGGGGGAAACCCUGACGCAGCAACGCCGCGUGGAGGAUGAAGUCCCUUGGGAUGUAAACUCCUUUCAAUCGGGACGAUUAUGACGGUACCGGAAGAAGAAGCACCGGCUAACUCUGUGCCAGCAGCCGCGGUAAUACAGAGGGUGCAAGCGUUGUUCGGAAUUAUUGGGCGUAAAGGGCGCGUAGGCGGUGCGGUAAGACUGUGGUGAAAUCUCCGGGCUCAACUCGGAAAUUGCCGCGGUGACUGCCGUGCUGGAGUGUGGGAGAGGUGAGUGGAAUUCCCGGUGUAGCGGUGAAAUGCGUAGAUAUCGGGAGGAACACCUGUGGCGAAAGCGGCUCACUGGACCACAACUGACGCUGAUGCGCGAAAGCUAGGGGAGCAAACAGGAUUAGAUACCCUGGUAGUCCUAGCCCUAAACGAUGAUUGCUUGGUGUGUCGGGUACCCAAUCCCGACGUGCCGCAGCUAACGCGAUAAGCAAUCCGCCUGGGGAGUACGGUCGCAAGACUGAAACUCAAAGGAAUUGACGGGGGCCCGCACAAGCGGUGGAGCAUGUGGUUCAAUUCG
rnacentral:rRNA from 1 species